CCUGACUGCUAUCGGAUUGAUACUAAGCCAUGCGAGUCUUUGUAGUAAUACAAGGCAGACGGCUCAGUAACACGUAGUCAACCUACCCUAUGGACGGGAAUAAUCUCGGGAAACUGAGCAUAAUACCCGGCGUACCACCAUUCCUGGAAUGGUUGGUGGUUAAAAUGAUUCGUCGCCGUAGGAUGGGACUGCGACCUAUCAGCCUGUUGGUGAGGUAAAGGCCCACCAAGGCGAUUACAGGUACGGGCUCUGAGAGGAGAAGCCCGGAGAUGGGUACUGAGACACGGACCCAGGCCCUAUGGGGCGCAGCAGGCGAGAAAACUUUGCAAUGUGCGAAAGCACGACAAGGUUAAUCCGAGUGAUUUCUGCUAAAGGAAUCUUUUGCCAGUUCUAAAAAUACUAGUGAAUAAGGGGUGGGCAAGUUCUGGUGUCAGCCGCCGCGGUAAAACCAGCACCUCAAGUGGUCAGGAGGAUUAUUGGGCCUAAAGCAUCCGUAGCCUGCUCUGUAAGUUUUCGGUUAAAUCUAUAUGCUCAACGUAUAGGCUGCCGAAAAUACUGCAGUGCUAGGAAGUGGGAGAGGUAGACGGUACUUGAUAGGAAGGGGUAAAAUCCUUUGAUCUAUCGAUGACCACCUGUGGCGAAGGCGGUCUACCAGAACACGUUCGACGGUGAGGGAUGAAAGCUGGGGGAGCAAACCGGAUUAGAUACCCGGGUAGUCCCAGCUGUAAACGAUGCAGACUAGAUGAUGUAUUGGCAUAUAGCCAGUGCAGUGUCUCAGGGAAGCCGUUAAGUCUGCCGCCUGGGAAGUACGUACGCAAGUAUGAAACUUAAAGGAAUUGGCGGGGGAGCACCACAAGGGUGAAGCCUGCGGUUC
rnacentral:rRNA from 1 species